CCUACGGGUGGCAGCAGUAGGGAAUCUUCCACAAUGGGCGAAAGCCUGAUGGAGCAACGCCGCGUGGGUGAAGAAGGUCUUCGGAUCGUAAAACUCUUUUGUUAGAGAAGAAAGUGCGUGAGUGUAACUGUUCACGUUUCGACGGUAUCUAACCAGAAAGCCACGGCUAACUACGUGCCAGCAGCCGCGGUAAUACGUAGGUGGCAAGCGUUAUCCGGAUUUAUUGGGCGUAAAGGGAACGCAGGCGGUCUUGUAAGUCUGAUGUGAAAGCCUUCGGCUUAACCGGAGUAGUGCAUUGGAAACUGGAGGACUUGAGUGCAGAAGAGGAGAGUGGAACUCCAUGUGUAGCGGUGAAAUGCGUAGAUAUAUGGAAGAACACCAGUGGCGAAGGCGGCUCUCUGGUCUGUAACUGACGCUGAGGUUCGAAAGCGUGGGUAGCAAACAGGAUUAGAUACCCGGGUAGUC
rnacentral:rRNA from 1 species